rnacentral:rRNA from 1 species
AGUGAACGCUGGCGGCAGGCCUAACACAUGCAAGUCGAACGGCAGCACAGUAAGCGCUUGCUCUUACGGGUGGCGAGUGGCGGACGGGUGAGGAAUACAUCGGCAUCUACUUUUUCGUGGGGGACAACGUAGGGAAACUUACGAUACUACCGCAUACGACCUACGGGUGAAAGCUGGGGAUCUUCGGACCUUGCGCGAUUGUAUGAGCCGAUGUCGGAUUAGCUAGUUGGCGGGGUAAAGGCCCACCAAGGCGACGAUCCGUAGCUGGUCUGAGAGGAUGAUCAGCCACACUGGAACUGAGACACGGUCCAGACUCCUACGGGAGGCAGCAGUGGGGAAUAUUGGACAAUGGGCGCAAGCCUGAUCCAGCCAUACCGCGUGGGUGAAGAAGGCCUUCGGGUUGUAAAGCCCUUUUGUUAGGAAAGAAAAGCAGCAGGUUAAUACCCCGCUGUUCUGACGGUACCCAAAGAAUAAGCACCGGCUAACUUCGUG